rnacentral:rRNA from 1 species
UACGUAGGUGGCGAGCGUUGUCCGGAAUUACUGGGCGUAAAGGGAGCGUAGGCGGUUUUUUAAGUGGGAUGUGAAAUCCCCGGGCUCAACCUGGGAAUUGCAUUCCAAACUGGAAGACUAGAGUGCAGGAGAGGAAAGUGGAAUUCCAAGUGUAGCGGUGAAAUGCGUAGAGAUUUGGAGGAACACCAGUGGCGAAGGCGACUUUCUGGACUGUAACUGACGCUGAGGCUCGAGAGCGUGGGGAGCAAACAGG